AAUGAACGCUGGCGGCGCGCCUAAUACAUGCAAGUCGAGCGAGAAGACGUGGCAAUACGUUUGUAAAGCGGCGAACGGGUGAGGAAUACAUGGGUAACCUACCCUCGAGUGGGGAAUAACUAGCCGAAAGGUUAGCUAAUACCGCGUACGCUUCUUGGACUUCGGUUCAGGGAGGAAAGCGAUGCCGAGGGUAUCGCGCUCUUGGAUGGGCUCAUGUCCUAUCAGCUUGUUGGNGAGGUAACGGCUCACCAAGGCUUCGACGGGUAGCUGGUCUGAGAGGACGAUCAGCCACACUGGCACUGCGACACGGGCCAGACUCCUACGGGAGGCAGCAGUAAGGAAUAUUGCGCAAUGGGCGAAAGCCUGACGCAGCGACGCCGCGUGGGGGAUGAAGGUCUUCGGAUUGUAAACCCCUUUCGGGAGGGAAGAU
rnacentral:rRNA from 1 species